rnacentral:pre_miRNA from 1 species
UAGGGUGAUCAGCUGUCCUUGUUUGCCUGGGACUGUCUUGAUUUAAAAAAAGCAAGUUCCAUGCCCCAGGAAUUCCCUCAGUCCUGGGCAAACUGGGACUGUUGGUCUCCCUUCUCCUUC